GAUGAACGCUGGCGGCGUGCCUAAUACAUGCAAGUCGAGCGAACGGACGAGAAGCUUGCUUCUCUGAUGUUAGCGGCGGACGGGUGAGUAACACGUGGAUAACCUACCUAUAAGACUGGGAUAACUUCGGGAAACCGUAGCUAAUACCGGAUAAUAUUUUGAACCGCAUGGUUCAAAAGUGAAAUACGGUCUUGCUGUCACUUAUAGAUGGAUCCGCGCUGCAUUAGCUAGUUGGUAAGGUAACGGCUUACCAAGGCAACGAUGCAUAGCCGACCUGAGAGGGUGAUCGGACACACUGGAACUGAGACACGGUCCAGACUCCUACGGGAGGCAGCAGUAGGGAAUCUUCCGCAAUGGGCGAAAGCCUGACGGAGCAACGCCGCGUGAGUGAUGAAGGUCUUCGGAUCGUAAAACUCUGUUAUUAGGGAAGAACAUAUGUGUAAGUAACUGUGCACAUCUUGACGGUACCUAAUCAGAAAGCCACGGCUAACUACGUG
rnacentral:rRNA from 1 species